CAUGGGCCAUGGGGUGGGUUUAACAGAUGGAGGUGUGGAUAGCUUGGGCCAUGGUCUUUAGGGCGGAAAAGGCCCAACCUCUCAAAACUGGGUUUUACCGGACCAAGAUUCGGUCUCAACAUCCCUAAUCUCACGCUCAUGACCAAUAAGAAAAGUGAAAGAAACGCGUUCGUCACACAAAAGAAGAAGAGAAAACACUACGUGAGAGGCAGAACGCGUCGUUGGUGCCGGAAUCCUAAACUUUUCCGUGCAAGAAUCACGCGUCGUUGCUCAUCGUCGACGGCGAUUGUGUUUCUUUUCGUCUCAUGUUGGUUGUUCUUCGGGUUGCGUCUUCGAUGGUGAGGAAUGACGCGUUGGAAGAUUAAGGUUGAAGCGGCGAAUUGAUCUCCUACAAUUAUUCGUUGAUUGCGAUGACCGACGGCAAAGCAUGAAUGAUCGUUGUUGAAGCGCUCUUUAGUUUCGCCGUGUGUAGGUUGAGCUCAUGUCGAGGAUAGUUAAAGUGAUGAUUAUCGAAGGCGACCCUGUUAUGAUGCCGAAAUCGCUUCUUCAGCGUGGUGAAAUGCGAAUCCUCGAUGAAGAUUCUUGUGGUGAAUUUUGUGCAUUUCCACUUGUGUGAAUCGCACGUGGAUUCUGUUGAUGCAGAACCAAUAUUCUUUGAUGCAGAAGGUGAAGCAGAAUGAUGCAGAAUCGAUGCAGAGUUAUCCAGAAAUGAUGCAGAAUCGAGAAUGAAGAAAUUUGGCCAAGCAGAGUGAAGGGUGGUUUGGAGAUUGGAGAUUGAGGGAGAUUCUAGAUUCUAGAUGAAAGGAGAUUGAAGAACCCCUCCCAAAGGUGAGUGAAGAUCCAUUUAUAUCUUUCUUUCCCAGUUCUGUUAGGGAUUAGUUGUGGAAAUUCCGUUAAAAAGUUAUUGAGGUUUGGUUUAGUUAGGAAUUAGUUAGAUUCAAUGAAAGUUGGCGACAGUUGGAAUCAGUUGGCGACAGUUGGAAUGUAUUAGGCGGUUAGGACGGUUGAAGACAGUUAGAAGUUGGUUUUGCAGUUAACGCCAGUUGGCGGAAGUUAGAAUUCAGUUUUGAUUAUUGUUUUGUUUUGAAUUUAUGUAGGUUUUGGUGUUUAUUAUGCAGAAUUUUGGUGCUGAAUUAUGCAGAAUUUUGGUGUUUAUUAUGCAGAAUUUGGUGCAGAAUUAUGCAGAAUUUUGGUGUUUAUUAUGCAGAAUUUUGGUGCAUAAUUAUGCAGAAUUUUGGUGUUUAUUAUGCAGAAUUUUGGUGCAGAACUUUGACUUCGUUGUUGCCGGCUUUCGCGUUUGGAGUUGGCAGCUUGGCUUUGCCGUUUUGGAUGUGGCUUGUAGCUUUGAACUGUGUCCUUUCUGUGCAGCUGCAUUGAUAUUUAUGCAGGUUUUGUGCGUUUGCAGCUUUCUGAAGCUCUUCGACUUGCGUUGCAGCUCAUGGCCGUGUUUGUGUUCGUAGCGGCUUACGCUUGUGUUCAAUAGCUUGUGGCUUGGAAGCAUUAAGCUGGUUUGAAGUGUUGUCUCAUGCUAUAACUUUGAUGCCGGCGUUGCCGUUUUGCUGUCAUGGCUUGUUGAAGUGCUUUUGGUUUGUCUUACACUUUGCUUUGUAUCAGGCUUGGAGUUUUCGGCGUCGGCGUUUGGCAUUUGGUUGUGACGCCUUCGGAGCUUGAAGCGUGUGUGUGAAGUUUCGCUUGGUAGCAGCUUUUCUUUAGCUUUUGUGGCGGUAUCAGUUUUGGUUGUCCUUUCCGUUUUGAUUGCCGGUUGUAGCAGCUUGGCUUUCAGCAGCUGUUACGCUGUGUUUUCAUCUUACCUGCAUUGGCUUAGCUUUGAUUUUGUAGUUGUUGUUUGCUGCUGCGUGGUGCAGCGUUUUCGAUUGCAUUUCAUUUUCCUUAUUGUAUAUUAAUAUUGGAUUUGGACAACUGUUUUUUGUGAAUUUUGUAUUAAUGAACAAAAAUUGGAAAUGGAUACGGAGGUAUGGAUUAAAA